UCACAAUGGGGCUGUCAAAAUUGGGUCUUGUGAAAAAUGUACAGAGCUAAAUCAGAGCAUAUGCUGUCAAUGGGGGGGAUACAGAAUAAGGGAUCUAUUACAGUAUCUGGGUGCCCCCUAGCGUAUGGAUCCUUUCUGUCUCAAAUCGAGAUUCAAUUCCGAGGAGCCUUCCGACAUGGAAAAUGCCUCGUUCUCUCGUCUUCCACGUUGACCAAAGUAAUGUGCUCCCAUUUCAAACUGAGUGUUUUAGAAAAUGUCUUCUAAUUGACUUGGACUUCGUCGAGGUAUGCGUGUAGGUCUCUGUUUCGGCUCUUCAUAUCCUAUAUGCUCUGUAGGCACAGAGAAUGUUUGUAUAGGCUUUUAUUCGUUGAUUGAUAUAAUACUUGGUCUUGAGCGUAACAGUCAUUCUAAAGUUAACGCCAGGGUCUACAUAAUAUCCCUGUCUGCAGUGUAUCUUAUUGUUGUAUUGUGGAGUCUACAUGACCACUCCAUUGGCCUUCUCAUCUUGACGACUGCCGAAAAAUAAAUGUGGACAGUUCUUCCAACAUCUUCAAUCUGUUCCUCGGAAUUCGAUAAGAAGGACACGCGCAGUUGCAUCCCAAUGCAUCUGGCUUCACUCGUGAGCUACUUCGGAGCUGAGAUGCCUGUGAGAAGGACCCAAUCAGCCAAACAUGACGCAGAAAACGGACCGAUUUCUCCUGCACAAAUAAUCUUUCAGGAAAAACGGAACAUUUGCUAUCUAACUGAGAGUCUCCUCAUUGAAAACAUCCGAAGUUCUUCAAAGGAAAAACGGAACAUUUGCUAUCUAACUGAGAGUCUCCUCAUUGAAAACAUCCAAAGUUCUUCAAAGACUCUCUCCAGACACUCUCCACAGAAGAACAGGAGGACAUGAAGGUUGUUUCAUUUCUACCAUCUCCUGCAUUGUUACUUUUAAAUAUUUUUUUCUCUCUGACUUUGGUGAAUUCAGUUCCACCAAUGCACUCUAUCCUGUAAUCCAAAUAUCACAACAUGGUUCACUUACAGUACGUCCAUGAAAUUGCUAUUUGAUUGUUUGUUUUGAAUGUUGUCCCAGGUUAACCUGCUGGACUAAAGAAUGUGUUGAUCUAUUGUCAUUAUCAGGUGCAAUUGUUUAGAUAUGUUUUCCUCUUUCAACAGGUAAACGUACCCUGCUUCUCUGUCAGCAAGACAGGAUUCUCUGACAUAGCAAAGGGAGCCAUGUGCGUUUCACUGACCUAAAAGUCAGGGCAUUAUUGAGACAGGGAGAGAUGUGUGUGGAGAACUGAAUGAAGGGCUGAUCUCCACAUGAAAUGUCAUCACAACGCCAGAUUCAGCCCCUCAAUGUCAGGCAAUAAAGUCAAUGGAUUAAACACAUUGAGCCAAAACUCUCUAUUUCUGAUGGUUCUGAUGGAUGGAAUAAUAUUUUAUAUGGAUUGGUGAAGAACACGUUUGAAUGUAACAUAAACUGAAUAAGUGUUACUCACAUUUCUUCUUCUAAAUAAUCAAUUUUUCUGAAUUGUAAAUUACAUUAGGCCAACACACUGAUUAUUCUGUUAUAUCAAAUUGUAGCUUGCAUGUUGACUUCACAAGAAUAGCUAGCUAGCUAAUUAAGUAGCUAAUACUUUGUAUGAUGCCACGAUGUUUCAUGAAAUAUCAUGCCAAUGCUAAAUCUGCCAGCUAGCUAGCAAACAAGCUUCAGAGCAUACCCAUCUUACAGACACAUAAAUCAAUCAACAACAGCUUUAUAGGCUACAGUGCCUGAACCAACCUGAUUUUAAAAUGCUGCUGGCUAGCUAGGAGAGGACAACAUAUAGCUAGCUUUAUCAAAGCAGUCAUUUUGACUUUGAGGUAAUGCGGGUUCGAUUGAGCCCCUAGCUACAUGUGCAUCCUCCAGACAUAACAUUUGCUGUAGGACCAUACUCAUAUUUAGUCAGAAAAGCUCUGAGAUUGAACUUACAUUGAGGGAAACAGCUGCUUCACAUUUCUAAUGCCUGGAACAAUGUAAAGAUCGUAUGUUUGGACAGGUUUGGGCAAAAAUGGAGGUCAUUCUUUUGGGGGAGAUGUCAGUCAUCUCUGUCAGCCUCUAGAAAUAAACAGUAAAAUAACAUUGGCCUUCUUUGGGUCCUGCUGUAUUUUCACUUUCCUAUUUGUCUGGUUCAAAACAAGUGCACUUUUGAAAUGUGGGGUUUGUUCUCACCCUGUUUUUAUUUUACCGUAGGAUAAUCAUAUUUUAUCACACAAUAACUAUGACAUAGUUAUUAUACAGUAAUAUUCACCUGUCACUGAUGCAAUGGUAUCCUGUAGCACACUAGGUGGCUAUGCUUUGAGCUGGAGUCAGUUAGAUCACAGCCAAAAGAAGGGCGACACAAUUCACCCCUUGACCCUCAACCCUGCAGCUGCACUAUCGAUCUAUAGCUGAAGUACUCUACUGUGUUUUUGUCACCCAUUCACCCAGCCAUGUGUAAUCGAUCCCUCCAUAUGUCUGAAAAAACACUUCAAGGUCCAAAUAUUAUCACCUUGGUCAGCUGGACCACGUGCACUCCCUUUUAUAUUUAAAUACAGUAAAAGCAUAAGAGGAAUGGGCUUGGAAAGAAACCAUUACUACUGGACAAGUCAGGGGCAGCCCCAACUUACAGAGAAAGAGUAAGAGGUGGAGUAAUUAUCACACCACGUCUAAGUCUCGCCUGGCCUCCCAAAGACCCCUUGCCCCUGUGCUAUACAAUGUUCUAGUCUGGCCUAACCAUACGGGUGAAUCCAAAGCCAAUUCCAUCUUCUGAAUUUAGUUCAAAUGUAAUGUUUUAAAUUUGUAUUUGAAGGUAUACAUUUUAGUAACAUCAAGUACUCCAAUCAAAAGCAUGCAAACAACAUUGUGCGGUAACGGUAGCCCACUAGAAUAAAUAGUUUUAGGCCUCCAUAAAGAUGUUUACAAACUUCUAGGAGAGAAAGUGUAAAAACUUCUAGGAGAAUUAUGAACUAUUUUAAACACAAUUGUUUUUAGCAUGUGGCGUUUUUAUGUACACUAAACAGUUAAAAUACA